rnacentral:rRNA from 1 species
UACGGAGGGUGCAAACGUUGCUCGGAAUUAUUGGGCGUAAAGCGCACGUAGGCGGUCUAGCAAGUCGGGUGUGAAAGCCCUCAGCUUAACUGAGGAAGUGCAUUCGAAACUACUAGGCUUGAGUACUGAAGAGGACGACGGAAUUCCCGGUGUAGAGGUGAAAUUCGUAGAUAUCGGGAGGAACACCCGUGGCGAAAGCGGCUCUCUGGAACGGUACUGACGCUGAGACGCGAAAGCGUGGGGAGCGAACAGG